GACGAACGCUGGCGGCGUGCUUAACACAUGCAAGUCGAACGGAAAGGCCUGCUUUCCCUUGUGGAUUGCGGGUACUCGAGUGGCGAACGGGUGAGUAACACGUGAGUGAUCUGCCCCCAACUUGGGUAUAAGCCUGGGAAACUGGGUCUAAUUCCCGAUAGGACUGCAGGGUGGUGCCUGUGGUGGAAAACGAUUUUCUAGUGGUUGGGGAUGAGCUCGCGGCCUAUCAGCUUGUUGGUGGGGUAAUGGCCUACCAAGGCGGCGACGGGUAGCCGGACUGAGAGGGUGGACGGCCACAUUGGGACUGAGAUACGGCCCAGACUCCUACGGGAGGCAGCAGUGGGGAAUAUUGCACAAUGGGCGGAAGCCUGAUGCAGCGACGCCGCGUGGGGGAUGACGGCCUUCGGGUUGUAAACUCCUUUCGACCGCGAGGAAGCCACCUGGUUGGAAGGGUGGUGACGGUAGUGGUAGAAGAGGCACCGGCUAACUACGUG
rnacentral:rRNA from 1 species